GAGCAUAAUUCUUGAUAGAUCAUAAUGCCUGGAAUGGUUUAUGGUUUAAAUGAUUCGUCGCCAUAGGAUGGGACUGCGGCCUAUCAGCCUGUUGGUGAGGUAAUGGCCCACCAAGGCGAUAACAGAUACGGGCUCUGAGAGGAGAAGCCCGGAGAUGGGUACUGAGACAAGGACCCAGGCCCUAUGGGGCGCAGCAGGCGAGAAAACUUUGCAAUGUGCGAAAGCACGACAAGGUUAGUCCGAGUGAUUUCUGCUAAAGAGAUCUUUUGCUAGUUAUAAAACCACUAGUGAAUAAGGGGUGGGCAAGUUCUGGUGUCAGCCGCCGCGGUAAAACCAGCACCUCAAGUGGUCAGGAUGAUUAUUGGGCCUAAAGCAUCCGUAGCCGGCUCUGUAAGUUUUCGGUUAAAUCCAUACGCUCAACGUAUGGGCUGCCGAAAAUACUGCAGAGAUAGGGAGUGGGAGAGGUAGACGGUACUCGGUAGGAAGGGGUAAAAUCCUUUGAUCUAUCGAUGACCACCUGUGGCGAAGGCGGUCUACCAGAACACGUUCGACGGUGAGGGAUGAAAGCUGGGGGAGCAAACCGGAUUAGAUACCCGGAUAGUCCCAGCUGUAAACGAUGCAGACUCGAUGAUGCAUUGGCAUAUAGCCAGUGCAGUGUCGCAGGGAAGCCGUUAAGUCUGCCGCCUGGGAAGUACGUACGCAAGUAUGAAACUUA
rnacentral:rRNA from 1 species